CCCACAUGCUCUGACGUAGAAAAAGGGGCGGAGAAAAAGGAAAAAAGGGGAAAAGCGUCCCCUGCUGCCUUAAGCUUGACGCAUGCGAAGUUUAUCCUUGCCCCGCCCACCCCUAUUUCCCGCCCGCGGAUGGAACAGGCGGGUUUCACUUUUCUUUCGUUGAGCGCGGGGGGGAGGUACCAAUCUGUUUGCGGGGGUGAAGAAGGAGCAGACCUAUCGGGGAAAAAAAGAAAGACAGAAAAGAAAAAAAUAUUGAUUAAGGGCCUUUGGUUCAAGGAAGGAUUUGCAAAGACCUGUUGCUGAAGCAAUUGU
rnacentral:lncRNA from 1 species